rnacentral:pre_miRNA from 1 species
UGGGGGGAGGGGAGGUCCCUUAGUUUGGAUUGCGAGAGGGUGUAGGCCAGGCCUAAGGACCCCACCAGUGCAUG